rnacentral:tRNA from 1 species
CAUAGCUCAGUGGGUAGAGUGCUUGCUUUGNAUGCAUAAGGCUCUGAGUUCAGUCCUCAGUG